GGAAAAGGAUCUUAGCUCGGCGGUUAGAGCAUCCAAACUGCAUGUAGAAGCUCCCAGGUUCAAUCCCUGGUUUCUCCA